rnacentral:rRNA from 1 species
UACGGAGGGUGCAAGCGUUAUCCGGAUUCACUGGGUUUAAAGGGUGCGUAGGUGGGAAUGUAAGCCAGUGGUGAAAUCUCCGUGCUUAACACGGAAACUGCCAUUGAUACUAUGUUUCUUGAAUUUUCUGGAGGUUAGCGGAAUAUGUCAUGUAGCGGUGAAAUGCUUAGAUAUGACAUAGAACACCAAUUGCGAAGGCAGCUAACUACAGGGAUAUUGACACUGAGGCACGAAAGCGUGGGGAUCAAACAGG